UCUGUGGAAGGUUUCGUGUACGGAUUUGAUACAUCUGUCAUUGCGUUCCCGUCCGGCACCACUCCGACCUCGAUCGAAGAGGAUGAUACCUGAUGGUAAAGAAAAGGUGAGAUGAGAUCGAUGUUUCAGAUUCAUUUGUAUUAGUUACUGGAUUUUGAUGUUUGGAUGAGAAAUUGAUUGGAAGGUAAUGACUUACACUGUGACUGAUUGACUGAGGGUUAUGACCGUACGGGAACGAUUUGGUGCCGGUGAAGUCUAUACCAAGGCAACGAUCGUUUGCUGAUGAGAGAUGAACUCCUUUGCUUUGAACAGGAACAACUCCAUCGGCACCGGAGCUAUUCUGCUCUUGCGCUUCUAAUUUCGGAUCUACAUGGCUGUAAUCCAGAUCUAGGUAAGGAUCCAUUUCUGGAAACUCAAACUUGCCUGAGUUCAGAUCUGAACUUUCUAUUGCCUUCGGGUUAGGGUUGGGAAGAAGCCAGGAAGCAGCUUCGGCUUCUUCUCUACUAACAUCGGCGGCAUCAGCGUCGACAUCGGAGAAGUAACGGUCGUCGAGGAAGUUGAUUGCAGCGCUAGGUUUAACAGGGAGUGAGUUGUCAGAGUUGGAUGUGUCGUAGAAAGGCGUAACUGGAACACGUUCAUGACGACGUGCGAGCGGAUUAGCAGAGUGAAUAUCGUGGUCGCAAGUGAGGC
rnacentral:lncRNA from 1 species